rnacentral:rRNA from 1 species
CCUACAGGAGGCAGCAGUGGGGAAUAUUGGACAAUGGGGGCAACCCUGAUCCAGCCAUGCCGCGUGUGUGAAGAAGGCCCUCGGGUUGUAAAGCACUUUCAGUGAGGAAGAACGCCUGGUGGUUAAUACCCAUCAGGAAAGACAUCACUCACAGAAGAAGCACCGGCUAACUCCGUGCCAGCAGCCGCGGUAAUACGGAGGGUGCGAGCGUUAAUCGGAAUUACUGGGCGUAAAGCGCGCGUAGGUGGCUUGAUAAGCCGGUUGUGAAAGCCCCGGGCUCAACCUGGGAACGGCAUCCGGAACUGUCAAGCUAGAGUGCAGGAGAGGAAGGUAGAAUUCCCGGUGUAGCGGUGAAAUGCGUAGAGAUCGGGAGGAAUACCAGUGGCGAAGGCGGCCUUCUGGACUGACUCUGACACUGAGGUGCGAAAGCGUGGGUAGCAAACAGGAUUAGAUACCCCUGUAGUC